CCUACGGGUGGCUGCAGUGGGGAAUAUUGGACAAUGGGGGGAACCCUGAUCCAGCCAUGCCGCGUGUGUGAAGAAGGCCCUCGGGUUGUAAAGCACUUUCAGUGAGGAAGAACGCCUGGUGGUUAAUACCCAUCAGGAAAGACAUCACUCACAGAAGAAGCACCGGCUAACUCCGUGCCAGCAGCCGCGGUAAUACGGAGGGUGCGAGCGUUAAUCGGAAUUACUGGGCGUAAAGCGCGCGUAGGUGGCUUGAUAAGCCGGUUGUGAAAGCCCCGGGCUCAACCUGGGAACGGCAUCCGGAACUGUCAAGCUAGAGUGCAGGAGAGGAAGGUAGAAUUCCCGGUGUAGCGGUGAAAUGCGUAGAGAUCGGGAGGAAUACCAGUGGCGAAGGCGGCCUUCUGGACUGACCCUGACACUGAGGUGCGAAAGCGUGGGUAGCAAACAGGAUUAGAUACCCCUGUAGUC
rnacentral:rRNA from 1 species